rnacentral:rRNA from 1 species
GCGAGUGAAGCGGCAACAGCUCAAAUUUGAAAGCUGGCCUUACGGCCCGCAUUGUAAUUUGCAGAGGAUGCUUCUGGCAAGGUGCCUUCCGAGUUCCCUGGAACGGGACGCCACAGAGGGUGAGAGCCCCGUAUGGAUGGACACCAAGCCUGUGUGAAGCUCCUUCAACGAGUCGAGUAGUUUGGGAAUGCUGCUCAAAAUGGGAGGUAAAUCUCUUCUAAAGCUAAAUACCGGCCAGAGACCGAUAGCGCACAAGUAGAGUGAUCGAAAGAUGAAAAGCACCUUGAAAAGGGGGUUAAACAGUACGUGAAAUUGUUGAAAGGGAAGCGCUUGUGACCAGACUUGCGCCGGGCGGCUCAUCAGGGGUUCUCCCCUGUGCACUCCGCCCGGCUCAGGCCAGCAUCGGUUCUCGUGGGAGGAUAAGAACGGUGGGAACGUGGCCCCCCUCCGGGGGGGUGUUAUAGCCCACCGUACGAUACUCUCGUGGGGACCGAGGUUCGCGCUCCGCAAGGAUGCUGG